GACAGAGGGUGCAAACGUUGUUCGGAAUUACUGGGCGUAAAGCGAGUGUAGGCGGUUUCCUAAGUCAGGUGUGAAAGCCCCGGGCUCAACCCGGGAAGUGCACUUGAAACUGGGAGGCUAGAGUAUCGGAGAGGUUGGUGGAAUUCUCGGUGUAGAGGUGAAAUUCGUAGAUAUCGAGAGGAACACCGGUGGCGAAGGCGGCCAUCUGGACCGCAACUGACGCUGAGGCGCGAAAGCGUGGGGAGCAAACAGG
rnacentral:rRNA from 1 species